rnacentral:rRNA from 1 species
UACAGAGGUCUCAAGCGUUGUUCGGAUUCAUUGGGCGUAAAGGGCGCGUAGGCGGCGAGGUAAGUCGGGUGUGAAAUCUCAGAGCUCAACUCUGAAACUGCACUCGAUACUGCUUUGCUAGAGGACUGGAGAGGAGAUUGGAAUUCACGGUGUAGCAGUAAAAUGCGUAGAGAUCGUGAGGAAGACCAGUGGCGAAGGCGGAUCUCUGGACAGUUCCUGACGCUGAGGCGCGAAGGCCAGGGGAGCAAACGGG